AUCGGCGAACUGGGGAAGCGGAACGGCCUCCAAAACCGUAUCCAGGGGGUUCGACUCCCUCCGCCGGUG
rnacentral:tRNA from 1 species